CAGUAGCCGCGGUAAUACGGAGGGUGCAAGCGUUAAUCGGAAUUACUGGGCGUAAAGCGCGCGUAGGUGGUUCUUUAAGUUGGAUGUGAAAUCCCCGGGCUCAACCUGGGAACUGCAUCCAAAACUGGCGAGCUAGAGUAGGGCAGAGGGUGGUGGAAUUUCCUGUGUAGCGGUGAAAUGCGUAGAUAUAGGAAGGAACACCAGUGGCGAAGGCGACCACCUGGGCUCAUACUGACACUGAUGUGCGAAAGCGUGGGGAGCAAACAGGAUUAGAUACCCCCGUAGUCCCUGUCUCUUAUAC
rnacentral:rRNA from 1 species